rnacentral:lncRNA from 1 species
UUUGCACCAAACUAAUUAUAUAUAUAUAUAUAUUUUCUUGAGAGAGAUAGGUAACAUGCUAUUCAUUUUUGUUUCAUUUAGAAAUAAACUUAGCUAAAAAUGUGAAUCAAUUAGGAUUCGAACUUGGGACCUCAGGUACCAAUCACCAAGUCCUUUACCAUUUGCUCAUGUUGAAUCAUAAAUACAGUACUUGCAUGUCAAAAUGAUGUUAAAAUUUGAUUUCUG